rnacentral:misc_RNA from 1 species
CUGUGCGUCCGUCCAGGGGGGGAUAAGUAGAAAAUGCAGAGGUAUAGGGUAGGUAGUCACACCCACGACCCGUUCACCUCGUCCGUCGAUUCGUCUUUAUAUGAGGGACAGGUCUAGGGUAGGCCAAGGUCAGGUCUAGGGUAGGCGACUUCCCACCUCAAAGCUGCCUACCCGGUAGUCAACUUCGAUCACCUCUCACGGCCGCCACGGACCUCGCACGAAGAUGGGACCACCUCCAUCGCAUUCGCCUUGGUCGAGAUAGUCGGUAUACGCACUUUUGAAAAAAUGCGUGCAAAAUGGUUUUGUGGUUUGGUGGCCGUGAGUCGAUUUUUUUGUUUUCCCAUACAAAUGAAUUUUGCGGAAAAUAAAAAGUGGCCCACGAGGCAGUCCUGGCGUGCGGCCCACUAAAACGGUCUCGGAGGGUAUAUGAGAAGGGAGCAAAUCCGGCCGAGCCUGAAAGGGCGAGGGAAAACCGGACGAGCAACCUCUCGUACCUGAUCUUGAAGACUUCCACUGCGUGUCCCUCUGUACAGCUUUGCAGGCUCCGGCCUCGGCAGCGGGGGGUUCAUAGUGGUCGUCGACCUCCACGAAACUGCACGCUCCGGCGUGACAGCGUACUGGGGAUGCCUGUGUUUACGCAGUCCGGGCUUGCCUGGACCGCCAGCAGAUGGGCUCUGUGGAUGACUGGCCGCUGGCUAGACCUGAAACCUGAGCAACGGGAGGUAACCUCUCGCCGCGGACACCGGAAUGGUAGAAGCGGCGUGCUGCGUCCUCCUCUUGGGGCCCCUAAGCCACACCUCCCACAGCGGGUUCGGUGCGGCGGACGGACGCCCUGGGGAAUUUAGAGGGGGAAAGCGGAUUGCCCUAGCGGUGUUGUUGGCCCUGCCGACCUCACUGCGAAAGGCGCGACUU